AUUGAACGCUGGCGGCAUGCCUUACACAUGCAAGUCGAACGGCAGCACGGGAGCAAUCCUGGUGGCGAGUGGCGAACGGGUAGAGUAAUAUAUCGGAACGUGCCCAGUCGUGGGGGAUAACGUAGCGAAAGCUACGCUAAUACCGCAUACGAUCUAUGGAUGAAAGCGGGGGAUCGCAAGACCUCGCGCGAUUGGAGCGGCCGAUAUCAGAUUAGGUAGUUGGUGAGGUAAAGGCUCACCAAGCCGACGAUCUGUAGCUGGUCUGAGAGGACGACCAGCCACACUGGGACUGAGACACGGCCCAGACUCCUACGGGAGGCAGCAGUGGGGAAUUUUGGACAAUGGGCGCAAGCCUGAUCCAGCAAUGCCGCGUGCAGGAUGAAGGCCUUCGGGUUGUAAACUGCUUUUGUACGGAACGAAACGGUGAGCUCUAAUACAGUUUGCUAAUGACGGUACCGUAAGAAUAAGCACCGGCUAACUACGUG
rnacentral:rRNA from 1 species